UUUAUUAUGUUUGUGCAGUUUAUAUGUCAUAGGACUGAAUAGUAAGAGCUACAACUCUGAAGCAGUAUAGUUUGUUUGGUUAUUUUGGGUUUAGGUGCUUUGUUUGUAUGAGAUUGUCAAUCUCCUACUUUGACAUUGUGAAAUUGUACAGGUCUAUGUCAUGAUUGAGAAAGAACUAAUAGCAAAUAAAUGGUUACGACAUGAAGAUGGAAG
rnacentral:lncRNA from 1 species